AGAGUUUGAUCAUGGCUCAGGAUGAACGCUAGCGGCAGGCUUAAUACAUGCAAGUCGAGGGGCAGCGGGGGUAGCAAUACCUGCCGGCGACCGGCAAACGGGUGCGGAACACGUACGCAACCUUCCUUUAAGCGGGGAAUAGCCCAGAGAAAUUUGGAUUAAUACCCCAUAAUAUAAUGAAGAAGCAUUUCUUUAUUAUUAAAGAUUUAUCACUUAGAGAUGGGCGUGCGGCUGAUUAGGUAGUUGGCGGGGUAACGGCCCACCAAGCCUACGAUCAGUAGCUGAUGUGAGAGCAUGAUCAGCCACACGGGCACUGAGACACGGGCCCGACUCCUACGGGAGGCAGCAGUAAGGAAUAUUGGUCAAUGGACGAAAGUCUGAACCAGCCAUGCCGCGUGGAGGAUGAAGGUCCUCUGGAUUGUAAACUUCUUUUAUUUGGGACGAAAAAAGGGAAUUCUUUCCCGUCUGACGGUACCAGAUGAAUAAGCACCGGCUAACUCCGUGCCAGCAGCCGCGGUAAUACGGAGGGUGCAAGCGUUAUCCGGAUUCACUGGGUUUAAAGGGUGCGUAGGCGGGCAGGUAAGUCAGUGGUGAAAUCUUCGAGCUUAACUCGGAAACUGCCUUUGAUACUAUCUGUCUUGAAUAUUGUGGAGGUAAGCGGAAUAUGUCAUGUAGCGGUGAAAUGCUUAGAUAUGACAUAGAACACCUAUUGCGAAGGCAGCUUACUACGCAUAUAUUGACGCUGAGGCACGAAAGCGUGGGGAUCAAACAGGAUUAGAUACCCUAGUAGUCC
rnacentral:rRNA from 1 species